GCCGGUGAAGUUCGUCAUCCAGCUUCUUUGAUUUCUUCGUCAAGUGACGAACUUUCCUUUUGAGAUCUCGGAUCAUGGACAUCAAAGGGAUCCCCUGCGGUAGGGGAAGAGCUUUGGUAGGGAACUGUUGUUGAGAAACAAGAGUGUCACGACACAAAUCAGUGCAAGAAAAUAAAAGAGAAGAAGAAAAAGAAGCUCUCUGUAAAGAAGAAUCUAAUUUCA
rnacentral:lncRNA from 1 species